AUGGUUAUGAUUGGCCGCUUCGCUGGCUACAAUGAGCAGAGCAUCCAAUGGAGAGGUGGGGGAAUCCAGCGGGGGAUUCCUCGUUCGGUGGGCAGCCUGCCAUUGGCCGCUGUGCUGGGGGCAGCGGGGGGGAUCCUCUCGGCGGGUGUCGGAGAGCGGCGAUGGGGACGGGUGCAGCGGCUCCUUGUCCCCGGCGGCGGCAGCAGCGGCAGCAGCAGCAGCAGCAGCAGCAAGGCAGGCGAUGACCGUGCCGCAUCCGGAUCGCCCGGGCGGAGCUCUGCUUUUUAUGACUGGAUUGUGGUAGCAGCAGCAGCAGCAGCAGCUCCCCCGCUGCAGGUUGUUGAGGAACCGAUGGGGAUUGGCAUCUCGGCAGCCGGAGGUGACUAA
rnacentral:lncRNA from 1 species